CGGCACAGUGGCUCGAUACGUUUGCUUCAUGAGCUACCGCGCAUGUGUCGAAGCCUCGGAUAUCAGAGGACCAUCACUACUGGUAGCAUCUCUGGCUGCUGCUGAUCUUGUUUUUGGAGUAAAACACGGUGGAAGCUGAAUUAGUGAGGAUGACUCCUGCUCCUGUCAUCUCUAAGCUCCUCACACAUCUUUACCUGCACAUGAGGAAAAUCACUCCUGUAGAAUGCAGAUGUUCAGAGGGAGAUGAUGCCACAUCUGGUCCAGCUGAUGGAAGGUCUUGAAGUUCUCUGACUGGCCUCGACUGAAGAUGGUCGUCCCACUGGAUUUAAGGUUCAGAUGCUCAGUAACAAACUCCACCAAUGUGCCAACAGGGAAGCUUUAGGUUUAUUAAAUGUUGCUAUGAAGGUAUCACUGUUUUUCUUUGUGAAUGUAAUGUGCUCCAACUGAAACUUGAAUUAGAACUUAGAAGUAAAUCCUUCCAUCUGAAAGGAUUUAGUUGCAUUAAUAACCUCAUAACAUUCUAAUUUUUAUUCCAGUCUUGGUUGGAAAUAGAAUCUCUGUAUUGAUUCAGGUAAAAACUGAACUUCACAGCAUGUUGAAGCAAAACAACCAGAUGAAAACUGUGAUGGUGUUGGAUUGUCAGACCGUAAUGUUGCAGCUCAAAGCAGCUUUUCUAGCUCAGUUCAUUCUGACAUUCAGCUAUGAAUCAACACAGCAGAUGGUGAUCCAUGCUGUGGAAGUCUCACAUCUCCUGAUUUAAUGGAGCUGCUUUGCACUUUUUACACUGUUUAUUCACCAACACUUUAUUUAAUAAAAGUCCCAUCGAGUUUUUAUGAGGAUUGUGAUGUUUUAAUUUCUCUGUGAAUAACUGCAGUCUAAUGCAACAGCUGGAGUUGUAACAUCUGUCAUGAUAUUGAUCAUGAAAUAUUGAUCAGAAUACUUAUGGUCAGCAGUCAUCCCUUAAGUUUUAUAUUAAAAUCUUUACUUGUGUUGUGAACUUUGGUAAGAAGCAGAAACGUUAGCGUUGCCAUGGAUACAUGAGUGUUAAAUUCUGUCCAUGUUUCCAUUUUGGGAUAUGCAGUCCAGAUCCAGAAUGUGGAGGAAUUUAGUCUCACAAUCACAGACAACAAAUAUUAUCUGAAAGUCGGGUUAUUGUUGUUUAUCAGCACAAUACAAAAAGAUUAAUGUUAGAAAUAUUCCAGUUAAGACUCUAGAAUAUCAUGAUUUAUGUAAAUUUACCUCAAUAAUAUGAACGUUCAGGUUAAGAUUGUACAGUGAUAUUUAUUAUGUAAGUUUAGCUGAUUAAAGUUUAUGACUCUGCACUAAAAUAUUAUUUAAAUUGACAUCAUUAUUAUAAUAUUUAGGGUCAGACUCUACAGUAUUGAGAUUAAGAAAUCAAAUAUUCUAUAAAAUGUAAAUACGCUGAACUCAUUUGGAUAUAUUUAAGUGAGACUCUACAAUAUUAUUUGACACAAAUCUAUCUAAAUCAAAAUUUUAAUAAUUUUCACACCAAACAUUUACUGGACUGAUUUAAAUAUUAAAAUCACUCCUUUCUAAUCCUCUGCUGUACAUUCAAACCUGAGGCCUUAAAUAGAAACACACAAGUAUCUGAUUGAAGGAACUUCUGCAGAGUCCUGGUUCCAGAACAUGAUGAUAGAAUUAUAGACAAACUUUAACAAAAGCUGCCUGAGAGUUUACAGGUUUUUAUGUUGGAUUUCUUCAGGAAUUUAAUGAGAGUUAUCAGCAAAAAUCAAGUGUACAUUUGAUGAACUUAAUUUCCUAAAACAUCCAGAAUUGGAGCUCAUAUCUUUGACAGCUGUAAAGUUUCUGCUCCUUCAAAGUUCACAACACAAUGAAUGAAUUCCUAAAACACUCUCAAUGCUGGAGAGCGUUUGUGAUGCUGAAGCAGUGAUCAGUUUUUCUGUUUCUUCUCUGGAGAUGCACAAUGAGGGACGUCUGCAGAGACUGAGAAAGAGUCUCACCACAUCCUGACAUGAGGAAAAAGACUAUUGAAGACUACAAUGAGGAAAAAAAAAAAAAAAAAAGACUACAAUGAGAAAAACUAUCAGACAGCAGACAGCUGCAUUCAAGCUGCUGAAUUCAUGGAUGAAUCAUCUGGCACUAGAGAAGAAGACCAUCAAACAUCCACGUCAGCUGAUGGAGGUCCAAGAGUCUCACGGAACAACCAACCUACAGAGUGAAGACCUCGAAUCUGAUUGGACAGCCUCCUAUUCAGCCACAUGUGUGAACAAAUGCCUCUAAGUUGAUUUGUUUUCUAAAAUAAAUCAAGUUUGAGUCCUAAUCUAUGCCUGAGUGUUUGCUUCUUUACACCGCUGUGAACAGUUUAGGCUGUUAGAUUGUUCCAGAUAAGACAAGUACAAGAUUCUUCAGAGCCGUUCUACCACGAGCCUGACAGGAAGAACUCCAACAGCUACUGAAUGUUCCUGUGGUUCCCUCAAGGCUACAGGAGGAGCCCUACGAGGACGAGCCGGUCCACCUGAUGGCGGCCAGUCGCUGCGGUUCAAAGCCAACACCGACUACGUGGACUUCUACUGGACCACAUGGAGGCCUUCAAACCGGACCAACAAGUUCACAGACUCCCUGACUCGUGGGUCUGAGGACGCCGCCGAGCCUCGGUCCAGCUGGCCUCCUGUCUGUGGAUGUUUGAGUGCUGAGAGGUUUGUGGAUGCAUGUGAACGUUCUGUGUUGAAACAGCAGCU
ensembl:lncRNA